GACGAACGCUGGCGGCGCGCUUAACACAUGCAAGUCGAACGGAAAGGCCCCUUUCGGGGUUCUAUAAUGUGGCACGGGUGUGUGUAACGCGUGUGCACUGCCCCCCACUCCGGGGGAACUCCAGGGAACUGGGGCGAAUACAGCGAAGACAUCCUUACUUCCUGAUGGGGGAUGGAAGGAUGCUCCGGCGGUGAGGGAUGGGCCCGCGGCUUGUCGGUUUGUUGGGGGGGUGACGUCCUACCACGGCAAUGAGGGGUCGCGGGGUUGAGAGGCCGACCAGCCAGAUUGGGACUGGGACACGGCCCAGCCUCCUACGGGAGGCAGCAGUGGGGAAUCUUGCACAAUGGGCGAAAGCCUGAUGCAGCGACGCCGCGUGCGGGAUGAAGGCCUUCGGGUUGUAAACCGCUUUCAGCAGGGACGAGGCGAAAGUGACGGUACCUGCAGAAGAAGCCCCGGCUAACUACGUG
rnacentral:rRNA from 1 species